GAAAGAUUCAUCGGAAGAGGAUGGGCAUGCGGCGCAUUAGCUAGACGGCGGGGUAACGGCCCACCGUGGCGACGAUGCGUAGGGGUUCUGAGAGGAAGGUCCCCCACACUGGUACUGAGACACGGACCAGACUCCUACGGGAGGCAGCAGUGAGGAAUAUUGGUCAAUGGGAGAGAUCCUGAACCAGCCAAGCCGCGUGAGGGAAGACGGCCCUAUGGGUUGUAAACCUCUUUUGUCGGAGAACAAAACCCGGGACGUGUCCCGGACUGCGUGUAUCCGAAGAAAAAGCAUCGGCUAACUCCGUGCCAGCAGCCGCGGUAAUACGGAGGAUGCGAGCGUUAUCCGGAUUUAUUGGGUUUAAAGGGUGCGUAGGCGGUCCGUUAAGUCAGCGGUAAAAUUGCGGGGCUCAACCCCGUCGAGCCGUUGAAACUGGCAGACUUGAGUUGGCGAGAAGUACGCGGAAUGCGCGGUGUAGCGGUGAAAUGCAUAGAUAUCGCGCAGAACUCCGAUUGCGAAGGCAGCGUACCGGCGCCAGACUGACGCUGAGGCACGAAAGCGUGGGGAUCGAACAGGAUUAGAUACCCUGGUGGUCCACGCAGUAAACGAUGAAUGCUGGUUGUCCGGGUCGAAUGAGAUCUGG
rnacentral:rRNA from 1 species